CAGUAGCCGCGGGAAAACGUAGGGGGCAAGCGUUGUCCGGAAUUAUUGGGCGUAAAGCGCGCGCAGGCGGUCAUGUAAGUCUGGUGUUUAAUCCCGGGGCUCAACCCCGGAUCGCACUGGAAACUGGGUGACUUGAGUGCAGAAGAGGAGAGUGGAAUUCCACGUGUAGCGGUGAAAUGCGUAGAGAUGUGGAGGAACACCAGUGGCGAAGGCGACUCUCUGGGCUGUAACUGACGCUGAGGCGCGAAAGCGUGGGGAGCAAACAGGAUUAGAUACCCCAGUAGUCCCUGUCUCUUAUACA
rnacentral:rRNA from 1 species